GUUUAUGUAGAUUAAUUUAAAUUGUAAGGCUGUUAACCUUGAGAUGAAACAUUUAGGUUUUCUGUAAACG
rnacentral:tRNA from 1 species